rnacentral:rRNA from 1 species
AUGGCGGUCGGCGUGCUUGCUUGGGAGGAUGGAGGCCGCCUCGCCGGGGCGCGGGCGCGGCAGCACGGCGUCGGGCCGUUGCCGGUGGUGCCGGGGCCGGGGCAGUGGUUUGACGGGCGACGCGAAGGAGGUGCUGUCCUGGCGUCAGCGGCCAGCGCAGGUUCAUCCCUCCCUCCAUUUUCUUUCACAUCCAAGCAAUUUGAGAAUCUAGGGGAGGGAGAGAUGGCGUCGUCGAUGAGUGGAUACAGGGGCGGCGGCAGCGACGCCGUGGCUGAAGGUGGGGAGGCACUUGAAGAGAUGAGCUUCUGCUUUAGGGAGAGAGCAGAGGGCAUGCUGGGUGCUGCUGCUUGA